ACGGGUGAGUAAUGUCUGGGGAUCUGCCCGAUAGAGGGGGAUAACCACUGGAAACGGUGGCCAAUACCGCGUAACGUCGCAAGACCAAAGAGGGGGACCUUCGGGCCUCUCACUAUCGGAUGAACCCAGAUGGGAUUAGCUAGUAGGCGGGGUAACAGCCCACCUAGGCGACGAUCCCUAGCUGGUCUGAGAGGAUGACCAGCCACACUGGAGCUGAGACACGGUCCAGACUCCUACGGGAGGCAGCAGUGGGGAAUAUUGCACAAUGGGCGCAAGCCUGAUGCAGCCAUGCCGCGUGUAUGAAGAAGGCCUUCGGGUUGUAAAGUACUUUCAGCGGGGAGGAAGGCGAUAAGGUUAAUAACCUUGUCGAUUGACGUUACCCGCAGAAGAAGCACCGGCUAACUCCGUGCCAGCAGCCGCGGUAAUACGGAGGGUGCAAGCGUUAAUCGGAAUUACUGGGCGUAAAGCGCACGCAGGCGGUCUGUUAAGUCAGAUGUGAAAUCCCCGGGCUUAACCUGGGAACUGCAUUUGAAACUGGCAGGCUUGAGUCUCGUAGAGGGGGGUAGAAUUCCAGGUGU
rnacentral:rRNA from 1 species